CGGGAUAACCCGGAGAAAUCCGGCCUAAUACCGCAUGUGGCCGAGGGGAGGCAUCUUCUUUCGGCCAAAGGAGGCGACUCCGGAGACGGAUGGGCAUGCGUGACAUUAGCUUGUUGGCGGGGUAACGGCCCACCAAGGCGACGAUGUCUAGGGGUUCUGAGAGGAAGGUCCCCCACACUGGUACUGAGACACGGACCAGACUCCUACGGGAGGCAGCAGUGAGGAAUAUUGGUCAAUGGGCGAGAGCCUGAACCAGCCAAGUCGCGUGAAGGAUGACGGCCCUACGGGUUGUAAACUUCUUUUGUCAGGGAGCAAUUGGGUCCACGUGUGGGCUUAGCGAGAGUACCUGAAGAAAAAGCAUCGGCUAACUCCGUGCCAGCAGCCGCGGUAAUACGGAGGAUGCGAGCGUUAUCCGGAUUUAUUGGGUUUAAAGGGUGCGUAGGCGGAAUAUCAAGUCAGCGGUAAAAAUUCGGGGCUCAACCCCGUCGUGCCGUUGAAACUGAUGUUCUUGAGUGGGCGAGAAGUAUGCGGAAUGCGUGGUGUAGCGGUGAAAUGCAUAGAUAUCACGCAGAACUCCGAUUGCGAAGGCAGCAUACCGGCGCCCAACUGACGCUGAAGCACGAAAGCGUGGGUAUCGAACAGGAUUAGAUACCCUGGUAGUCCACGCAGUAAACGAUGAA
rnacentral:rRNA from 1 species